rnacentral:miRNA from 10 species
AUUUUAUUAGGUUGGUGCAAAAGUAAUUGUGGCUUUUGCCAUUAAAAGUAAUGGCAAAACCUAGUAGUGGUAAAAUAGUCUGUACUGAUUUUUCUUUUAAAAA